ACUCAAUCCUGGACGUAUCUCAAUUAUAUGUGGCGGUGUCUGUCAUGGAAAGCAGCCUACGUUGUUUCAUACGUGCAGCUGUGUCGCCUCUGAGUUAUUGUCAUUUGGAGAGUACGUGAAUGCAACGAACGUGACCGUAGUGUUUUAGUUUGCAUUUCAAACAAGUGACAUUCAUUUGACACGGUUUGUAUUCCGGCUACNUAUCAUCCCAGUGCAUAACCAUAACCAUUGCAACUAUACAUACCACUGCUUUCUUUUCUCUAACCAGGGGAAGGUUGCGGCAAUAACAGGUCUGUGAUG
rnacentral:rRNA from 1 species